GGCUUUCUAGCCUAGUGGCAUCUUGGUGGUGGGAUAAGGCUUUGGGACCAAUAGGUCCUGGGUUCGAUUCCCACAAGGGGGGUUU
rnacentral:tRNA from 1 species